rnacentral:rRNA from 1 species
UACGAGGGGGGCAAGCGUUGUUCGGAAUUAUUGGGCGUAAAGGGCGCGUAGGCGGUGCGGUAAGUCACCUGUGAAAACUCUGGGCUCAACUCAGAGCCUGCAGGCGAAACUGCCGUGCUGGAGUGUGGGAGAGGUGCGUGGAAUUCCCGGUGUAGCGGUGAAAUGCGUAGAUAUCAGGAAGAACACCCGUGGCGAAGGCGGCUCUCUGGGACGUGACUGACGCUGAGACGCGAAAGCGUGGGGAGCGAACAGG